CAGCAGGGCUCAGAAGCAGCUCACCUCAUGUAUGCUUCUCCUUUGAAGUCAAGUGGAGCCUUGUUGGAAAAGGGUAUUACAAGGGCCUGGUAGCAAGCUGCUUGCACUGAUAUCCCAAUGGAGGAGGUGAGCUGGCUGGGAGAAGAAAAUGAACAGUUCUAUUUAUGCAGCAAGUCUAAUGGUGGUGGAGCAAGGUUCAUGAUGCACAUGCAGGCACUUGCUCUGACAGCGCCGGCUGCACUGUGGUGCUUGGGACCAACAUGUGCUCAGAGCCAUGUGAACCCAACUCCUGAUUAGACCCACUCAACAGAAAGGGCUCAUGUUCUGAUGUGAAAAGGGAGUCCUGCCAAGUUUACAAGAAAGAGAGGAUGACUCCUUCCCCCCCUCAACGCUAGUUAGGUGCCGAAGUCUCCCUGCUGCUCCUGACAUUGGUGCCCAGUGCUUUUGGGGGGUUAGAUAACUGGAUUGUGUUAUUUUUUGGACAAAAAUGAAAACUAGCGAGGAAGGGACAACUGUGGAGUCCCCGUGCUAGAUCUGGAGUCUUUCAAGUCUGGAUAUAAAAGCGAUGGUGUGCACAAACCUUGGCUUGGUUUCUGUAAAAAUUCGUUCUGAAAAGGGUUUUAUAUUUAUCCUCCCAUCUUUCUUCUAGUUACCAAAACACGCUCUCUCAACCCAGAUAAUUAAAAAUGCACACACAUCCCAAGAGCAGAGCUAUUCUGAAAGCAGCUCUGGUGCAGCCGAGCAUGCCCACUUCUGUGUGUUACCCUUUGAACUUCAUAAGAGCCAAAGAGAAUCAUUUUCAGACAGCGAUGAAUAGCUUAUACUCCCAUUUGUUUGCUCGGUGUCUUGCUUUAAGAAAAUGUGAACACUUUUGCUGGCUGUAAA